CAGUGGCGAAGGCGUCUCACCAGAACGGACCUGACGGCAAGGGACGAAAGCUAGGGGCACGAACCGGAUUAGAUACCCGGGUAGUCCUAGCCGUAAACGAUACUCGCUAGGUGUCGGCCACGGUGCGACCGUUGUCGGUGCCGUAGGGAAGCCGUGAAGCGAGCCACCUGGGAAGUACGGCCGCAAGGCUGAAACUUAAAGGAAUUGGCGGGGGAGCACCACAACGGGUGGAGCUUGCGGUUUAAUUGGAUUCAACGCCGGAAAUCUUACCGGGACCGACAGCAAUAUGAAGGCCAGGCUGAAGACUUUGCCGGAUUAGCUGAGAGGUGGUGCAUGGCCGUCGUCAGUUCGUACUGUGAAGCAUCCUGUUAAGUCAGGCAACGAGCGAGACCCACGCCCACAGUUGCCAGCGUACUCUCCGGAGUGACGGGUACACUGUGGGGAACCCCGCUGCUAAAGCGGAGGAAGGAAUGGGCAACGGUAGGUCAGUAUGCCCCGAAUAUCCCGGGCUACACGCGAGCUACAAUGGUUGGUACAAUGGGUAUCUACCCCGAAAGGGGAUGGAAAUCUCCUAAAGCCAAUCUUAGUUCGGAUUGAGGGCUGCAACUCGCCCUCAUGAAGCUGGAAUCCGUAGUAAUCGCGUUUCAACAGAACGCGGUGAAUACGUCCCUGCUCCUUG
rnacentral:rRNA from 1 species